rnacentral:tRNA from 1 species
GUUCGGCUGGACGGGGAUGUUCUCGUCGGCCCGUUGCCAGCGGGGAAGACGCUGGGCGUUGGCGAUGAGCACGGGGUGCCACGCCACGAUGAACG